UUGCAACAUAAUCUGUGUUUUCUUUCUGCUGUUGUUGAACCUUACCUUCAAACUAGAAUAUAUUACGUGUUUAAAGCUAAACAUGCUAAAUGUAUUGAUGUACAAAUUUGUUGCUAAAACACUUCUCUGUUUUAGAUAUCACUGGGUGUUGGAAAAGAAAAGGCAGAAUUGUUGGAUUAUUCCUGUAGCUGUGCAGCUGGUAAAUGUUUUUGCAAUCAUGUAGUUGCACUUCUUUACCAGACUGCACACUACUCCCAACUCCAGCUGCCAAAUGUUCCUGCUGCACUGGUCUGCACUAGUGAGUUACAAAGAUGGCACAGACCAAGAACACAGGGGAUACAUCCUGAACCUGUCAGCGACAUGGUGGUGCGGAAGCCCAAAACUAUGGGGAAAAGAUAUAUGCACUCCACACUUUACAGAGCUUACACAGGACCGCUUCCAGAUCCCGACAUUCUGGCAUCAGGAGAAAAACUACGCCAGCUGGAGUCCCCACCACUUAUCGCUCUUGUCCUAGAUGGUCUUUCUAAUUUGGAGCUGGUUCCAUCCAAAUUUGGGCCUGUGCCACAGGGCUCACCUAUGUCUUAUCAG